rnacentral:tRNA from 2 species
GCAUCAGUGGCGGAAUGGUAGACGCGUAAGGUUGAGGGCUUUAUGGGAAUUUUCCUGUGGGGGUUCAAGUCCCCCCUGAUGCACCA